rnacentral:rRNA from 1 species
UACAGGGGGUGCAAACGUUGCUCGGAAUUAUUGGGCGUAAAGCGCGCGUAGGCGGCUACUUAAGUCGGAUGUGAAAGCCCUUGGCUCGACUGAGGAAGUGCACCCGAAACUGAGUGGCUUGAGUACCAAAGAGGGUCGCGGAAUUCCCGGUGUAGAGGUGAAAUUCGUAGAUAUCGGGAGGAACACCGGUGGCGAAGGCGGCGACCUGGGUGGAUACUGACGCUGAGGCGCGAAAGCGUGGGGAGCAAACAGG